CGUGUAGGCGGAUCGGUAAGUUGGCUGUGAAAGCUCCUGGCUUAACUAGGAGAGGUCGGUCAAUACUGUCGGUCUAGAGUAUGUGAGAGGGAAGUGGAAUUCCGGGUGUAGUGGUGAAAUGCGUAGAUAUCCGGAGGAACACCAGAGGCGAAAGCGGCUUCCUGGCACAUAACUGACGCUCAGACGCGAAAGCUAGGGGAGCGAACG
rnacentral:rRNA from 1 species